GUGCCUGCUUCAGCAGCACAUGUGCUCCAAUUGGAACAAUAUAGAGACGAUUAGCAUGGCCCCUGCUCAAGGAGGACACGAUAAUUCGUGAAGCGUUCCAUAUUUUU